CCCUUAGAUGUUCUGGGCUGCACGCGCGCUACACUGAAGCUAUCAACACGUUUUCCCUCCCUGAGAAGGGCGGGUAACCUUUUGAAUCAGCUUCGUGGUAGGGAUCGGGGCUUGAAAUUGUUCCCCGUGAACCAGGAAUUCCUAGUAGACGCGAGUCAUAAGCUCGCAUCGAUUAAGUCCCUGCCCUUUGUACACACCGCCCGUCGCUACUACCGAUUGAACGUUUUAGUGAGGCAUUUGGACCGACGCAUCUCAGUUUAACCGCUGGUUUGUGUUGGAAAGACUUCCAAACUUGAGCGUUUAGAGGAAGUAAAAGUCGUAACA
rnacentral:rRNA from 1 species